rnacentral:rRNA from 1 species
UGGAUGAACGCUAGCUACAGGCUUAACACAUGCAAGUCGAGGGGCAGCAUGGUCUUAGCUUGCUAAGGCCGAUGGCGACCGGCGCACGGGUGAGUAACACGUAUCCAACCUGCCGUCUACUCUUGGACAGCCUUCUGAAAGGAAGAUUAAUACAAGAUGGCAUCAUGAGUCCGCAUGUUCACAUGAUUAAAGGUAUUCCGGUAGACGAUGGGGAUGCGUUCCAUUAGAUAGUAGGCGGGGUAACGGCCCACCUAGUCUUCGAUGGAUAGGGGUUCUGAGAGGAAGGUCCCCCACAUUGGAACUGAGACACGGUCCAAACUCCUACGGGAGGCAGCAGUGAGGAAUAUUGGUCAAUGGGCGAGAGCCUGAACCAGCCAAGUAGCGUGAAGGAUGACUGCCUUAUGGGUUGUAAACUUCUUUUAUAAAGGAAUAAAGUCGGGUAUGGAUACCCGUUUGCAUGUACUUUAUGAAUAAGGAUCGGCUAACUCCGUGCCAGCAGCCGCGGUAAUACGGAGGAUCCGAGCGUUAUCCGGAUUUAUUGGGUUUAAAGGGAGCGUAGAUGGAUGUUUAAGUCAGUUGUGAAAGUUUGCGGCUCAACCGUAAAAUUGCAGUUGAUACUGGAUAUCUUGAGUGCAGUUGAGGCAGGCGGAAUUCGUGGUGUAGCGGUGAAAUGCUUAGAUAUCACGAAGAACUCCGAUUGCGAAGGCAGCCUGCUAAGCUGCAACUGACAUUGAGGCUCGAAAGUGUGGGUAUCAAACAGGAUUAGAUACCCUGGUAGUCCACACGGUAAACGAUGAAUACUCGCUGUUUGCGAUAUACGGCAAGCGGCCAAGCGAAAGCGUUAAGUAUUCCACCUGGGGAGUACGCCGGCAACGGUGAAACUCAAAGGAAUUGACGGGGGCCCGCACAAGCGGAGGAACAUGUGGUUUAAUUCGAUGAUACGCGAGGAACCUUACCCGGGCUUAAAUUGCAGAUGAAUUACGGUGAAAGCCGUAAGCCGCAAGGCAUCUGUGAAGGUGCUGCAUGGUUGUCGUCAGCUCGUGCCGUGAGGUGUCGGCUUAAGUGCCAUAACGAGCGCAACCCUUGUUGUCAGUUACUAACAGGUUCUGCUGAGGACUCUGACAAGACUGCCAUCGUAAGAUGUGAGGAAGGUGGGGAUGACGUCAAAUCAGCACGGCCCUUACGUCCGGGGCUACACACGUGUUACAAUGGGGGGUACAGAGGGCCGCUACCACGCGAGUGGAUGCCAAUCCCAAAAACCUCUCUCAGUUCGGACUGGAGUCUGCAACCCGACUCCACGAAGCUGGAUUCGCUAGUAAUCGCGCAUCAGCCACGGCGCGGUGAAUACGUUCCUGGGCCUUGUACACACCGCCCGUCAAGCCAUGGGAGCCGGGGGUACCUGAAGUGCGUAACCGCGAGGAGCGCCCUAGGGUA